rnacentral:lncRNA from 1 species
CAUCAGGUGGAAAAGUGUUAUUCGCACAAUCAAUUGUGUUUUUAUGCUAUUCUGUUUUAAUCUCAUGAUUGUGUGCUUGUGAGUGUUGGAUAUGAUGCAAUAAGAGGAAAAUGCAUACCACAAAAUAUGAUUAAGAUAUUAUAGUGGAGAGCAUUACUCUGCAGAUUCCAAAUCUAUUACACAGCAGCUUGAACCGUGCUGCAUACAUCUUUGCAGAGA